rnacentral:lncRNA from 1 species
AGUGCAGUAAUAACAGCGAUGCUGAGAGGAACAAGAGCCGGGCGCUGGCCGUGCACCUGGACUGCGGCAAACACCGGGAGGAGGUACCGGGGCCCGCCUUUCCUCCUCUUUACUGUAACUCACGUCUUUCUCUCCUCCCAACAGUCAUAGGUGUGCACGGUGCAACGUCUGAAAACUUCUGAAAGACAGAAAUAGCUCAAGAUAGACCAUCCAUCCUCCUGCCACGCAGAGGUACAAAGAACAGCUGUCUGGAAUUGGAAUAGGCGUUGACCUUUGCUGGCCUUCUGACUUUGGAUUAAUCAUUUCACCUUCCUGGGACCUGGAGGCCGAGUGCAGAGGAUAAAGGAUAACGGCCAGCUCUCGAAGGCCUGUUGAGUUUUAACGUUUCUCCAAUGCCGUGAUUCAUGCUUUACACACGGUUAUAAACAAAGUCCGUUUUCUCCUUUCUCCCGUGCCCAAGGACAAAUGUAGAUCGCACUUAACUGAUAAGAACUCAAGCAAACUCAUAAGUAUGUCAUGAGAUGAAAUGAAAUAACAGACCCGAAAAGGAAUUGGAUGAAGGAAUUAAAAACACCUCAAGCUCUGUGAGGCUCUCAGAUAUUAACACAUCAUCCUCACCAACCCUCAGUCCUGUUGCAACAACACGCCUCGUAAUCACGGAGCAGUGGUUGUUUGCCGGACUUGGGUGGGGUCGCAGUCUGCUGGUUGGAUCUAAUUUUAACAGGAAAAAUCUGUCCCAACCCAGAGGCAUUAAUAAAUCCUCAUUGCCAAACAGGAGGAAAAACAACGACGACAAAUGGAGGCAUCUUGGUCGAGGACCUGAACACGGCAAGGCGUUCUGGAAAGGAAACGGGCCGCGAGAACGCGUGCUCUCCCCGUGCUGAGUUUUUCCGAGAAUGUGCCAUGUCGUGUCAGUUUCUGCGGUACAGCAAAGUCACCCAGUCGUACGUUCAUAGACACCCUUUUUCUCAAAUUAUCUUCCCUCACAGUCUAUCACGAGAGACUGGACCUCAUUCCCUGGGCUGUACAGCGGGACCUCACUGCUUCUCCCACAGCAAGAGAAGAGACCCCAGACCUCUCAAGUGAUGUUUCCGAGGCGCUCCUCGAGCCGACGCGGGCCGGCCCGGCAGGUGCUUCUUGGAGCCGGUUCUCACGCUGACCGUGCAGCCCUCACUACCCUUGGAGGGUGCAUUGAUGGGCAUCCGUAAAGACCGGGUCUGCCUCUCACAGUCCAACAGGAAAGGCAAUGAGGCAGCCAUCGGAGAUCUGCAGAUACACAUAAAUAUAGGAGAUUUUAAAGCCAUUCUGGAAUAUGCACUGGCCCCUCCCACGUAGGCUCUUGACACUUGGCCAGCGGACCCCGUCUUUGCUCUGUGCCACCCAGAGAGAGCCCGCGAAGUCCUCCAUGGUUCAUUUCUCCCGUUGGUGAGCGCUGGCUCAUGUUUGCGCAGCAAAGCUCAGCGUCUUGCUGUAACAGCCUCUGGGGCUGCGUGCCCACCAGCCCUCCUUGGAGGAGAGCGCCCGGUCCUGGCUGGGCCGCCCAGAGCACACGCAGAAGGUCAAGCUCGCAGCGCAGAACCCUAGUUCCAGGGGCAGUGGUAACUUCGAUCACCUUACAUGAAGGUCUGAAGGUCAGCAGGCCCCACAGGUAGCCUUCGUGUUUAAGAGGCCGGGACCAAAGGUGAAGCCUGCCAGCAACACCAGAGUUGCAUCCCAAACUCAGUCCAACUUGCCAUUCGGAGGGCAGGCACCUCACAAUUCUGGUGGAAAGGAUCCAAGAACCCCUGCCUGCUGGACCUGCAGACAGACUCAGAUUCUCCAGGACGAGGCCCCUGCGGAAAGAUGGUGGGAGGAGAGAAGGUGAACUUGGUCCCGGGACUGCAUCAGGAAAAUUCAGUCUCCCGGGUUCUUGCCCGUGACCUGCCCGCCGGACCCUCUGGAUCACCAUGACAACCAGAAAACGCCUCCUCCCCAUCAGCAGGUCCCUGGAACGGACCCCCGCACCCACGGAAACUAGCAUCCCAACUGACCACACUUGGUAGAGGUGCUGAGGCUAGAAGCCACCAACAACGAAGGUCUUCCCACAAAAAUGUCACCCCAAGCCAGACUGGACAGCCUCCACUCCCAAAGGAUUCAAAACUCUCUUGGUCUUUACUAGGUUAUAGAUGCGGACAGAAAAGAUACAUCAUUGUCUUAAGUCAGAAAACAGGUUUUUGGUUUUGUUUUUUGCCCUGUAAAACUCGUACACUGAGAGGUCCCUGAAUGUUUUUCCUCUGAAAGCCUCACCUUGUUACGCUGCCUGCAAAACAAGCAGCUUCACUUCAACCGUGUCUCUUCCGCGUCUGUUUUGUUAACACACCUCUCCUUUGAAAUGAUACCUGGGAAAGAAAAAAAAAAAAAAAUGGAGAGAACGUUCCUCUGGGAAGGGGCUUGCUCCUUACAGGAACUUUUAAAGGUCAUUUCUCCCUUAAUAUAUUUAUUUUAGCAUCCAUUGGCAAGUGAUAGAAGAGAAAUGGACACCGAGCUGGAUCAUCACGCAGAAUGUUCUAUCAGUUUAUUAGUGUGUCCAGGAAAUUCACAGCUGGCAUAGGUUGUAUCCUCCAGAGGGGUAACAGUUCAACCAAAACCUAAUCUGAAGGAUCUCACAGGAGAUACGUUCUCCAGGGAGAAAUUUUUAUCACUAAACAAGGCAAUUCUUGCUGGUACUAAUUAUCCAAAAAUAAUGUUGUUGAUUUUAACGUCAUUCCCUCUUUUUUUUUUUUUUCCUUACUGUCUUUUUAGGGUGGUUCCUGCUGCAUAUGGAAGUUCCCCAGCUAGGGGUCAAAUCAGAGCUGUAGCUACCAGCCUCGCCAUAGCUCACAGCAAUGCCAGAUCAUUAACCCACUAACUGAGGCUGGGAGGUGAACCCACAUCCUCGUGGAUACUAGUUGGGUUCAUUAUUACUGAGCCACAAUGGAAACUCCCAUUCACAAUCUUUAAAAAAAAAAAAAAUGGCCAUUGCUAGAUAUGAAUUCUGGGGAUCCCUGGUGGCUCAGCUGGUUAAGGAUCUGGCAUUGUCAGUGGCUCUGGCGGGGUUGCUGCUGUGGCGCGGGUUCGAUCCCUGGCCGGGCAAUUUCCACAUGCUGUGGGUAUGGCCGAAAAAGAGAGAAAAGCAUCAUGUCCUCAAUGCCAGCCCUGCACUUGCUAUAAUGAACGGCUGCUGAAUUAAAUGUCGAAUAAAUAAACACCAGGUUCAUGCCAAGAAGCCGCAUAAGUGCACACACUCAGUUAAUUUACCCUGCUGUUGUUAUUCACCACAUUAACCAGCCUCCUAGAGUUCCCCAUCUAGACCCCCAAGAAAGACGGAGAGAGACCGAAAGCUAAGAGGAACAGGAAGGAAGCCUAAAGCCCAGUGGGAGGUCGGCUGGUCCCAGCACCAAGCCGUCAGCAUUUCCAUCUGUGCUUCUCUUGCACGCCUCUGCCUAUCCUGGGCUACCGGGCAACCUGGGAGAGGAGGAAAAUACAGAGCCAAGGCGGGACCGCUGAGUAGUCUUACCUACCCGAAAGGACUCCUGUGGCGAUUGCAUCAACCCACGGCGUCCAAGGUGUUUCUCACCCUGUGACUCACAGCUGUUUCCUGAGGGUUCGGUAUGCGCUGGACCCAAGCCUCGAACCCGCCCACCACUGGGACUUCGCUUCUGUCCUAAAAGAGCUGACUCCCUAGUGAAAAUACUAAUGUAUACAAAUGGGCUGUGCCUUCAGGACAGAAAGAAGGUUCAUUUAAAAUUCCUGUAAAAGGGUCUAUUCGGCUCCAGUGUUUCUGCAUCUAGCAGCUGCUGAAGACAGAGCAUCUCGUGGAUUUAGGAAACAGUCAAAGGAUUUGGUAAUGACUGGAGGAAAGCAAUCUCAGGAAGACUUGUACGCACUUUACUACAUUAUUUACAUAAAGUGAACUCUGAAGAAUAUACCACGGAGUCAGAAAUCAAGUUCGGCUCCCUAAGGAGCUGAGGGUAACCAAGAACCAGGGGCCAAAGCCAGUGGCUUGGGCAGGUGUGCUUUGGUCUCAUCCUCUUUGCUCCUUUGCUUCUUGUCUGGAAUGCCCACUUCUUGCUAGAGGGCCUCUUGCUGAAAAGCUUUCAUCUUUUUUUUUUUUUUUUUAAUCUUUUUUUUUUUUUUAGGGCUGCUCCCACAGCAUAUGGAGGUUCCCAGGCUAGGGGUCCAAUCAGAGCAUAGCCGCUGGCCUGCACCACAGCCACAGCCGUGCCAGAUCCGAGCCACGUCUGCGACCUACACCAGAGUUCACAGCAAUGCCGGAUCCUUAACCCACUGAGCGAGGCCCAGGAUCAAACCUGCAUCCUCAUGGAUCCUAGUCAGGUUUGUUAGCCGCUGAGCCACGAAGGGAACCCCCAGUUAUUUAUUUAUUUAUUUAUUUUCAGUGAAACACAGCAGGUGGUUUGUUGUCCAUCAUAGGAAGAAAAAAGCAUGGCAGCUUUGCACAAGUACGGUUCUUCCACCUUCCUGACUUCCGUGUGUGUGAACGUGUGUCACACGCCAGCUGCCAAUCAGGGAACCCACUGCGAAGAUGAGCUGGUACCAGUGCCCUUAACCCCGAACCAGACAAACAGCAGGAAUGAGGGGAAAACCCUCCCUCAGGGUCAUUCGCCUCGAGCUGGCGAGUGGGCGUGUGAUCCUAGGAAAGGAAUCUACCUUUUCUUUUUUUAUUUCCUUUUUAAAAAUGAAAGUGUAGUUGAUUUACAGUGAUUCAUGUGCCCCGCAAAGUGAUUUAAUGAUAUUUUGGAGUCCCCUGGCGGCUCAGCAGGUUAAGGAUCCAGCAUGGUCACUGCUGUGGCUUAGGUUACUGCAGGGGUACGGGUUUGAUCCCUGGCUUGGGAACUUCACAUGCCACAAGCGUGGCCGAAUAAAAUCAUAAAAUAAAAUAAAGAUUUUAGGAUAUUUAAUGCAUAUAAGCUGAGAGUAUUUUUUUCCAUCUGUUUUUGCCUCCCUUGGAAGGAAAUUUAUUUUUUUAAAUUGAAGUAUAAUUGAUUUACCAUAUGAUAUUAGUUUCAAGUGUACAGCAUUGCAACUCAGUAUUUUUACUGAUUAUAGUCUAUUAAGUUAUUACAAGAGAGUGGCUCUGGUUUCCUGUGCUGCACACAUGUAUCCCUGUUGCUUAACUAUUUUAUACAUAGUAGUUUAUAUCCUUUAAUCCCAUCCCCCUAAAUUUUUAACAUAAAGAAAUACUUAAGGUUUCCAAAAUUAUUAUGCAGUUUUUGACCUACGUUGUUUCCCAGAUUAAAGGGACAGCUGUACGAAAGCCACCUCAUGAGGACGCAGGUGGAGGUCAGACACUCUUCCACUUUUGUCGUCAUCAAGAAAUUGCCUCUUGAAAUUCCCAUCACGGCUCAGCAGGUUAAGAACCCAACAUAGUGCCCGUGAGAAUGUGAGUUCGCUCCCUGGCCUUGCUCCGUGGGUUAAGGAUCCCAAGUUCCCAAAAGCUGCAGCAUAGGCCACAAAUGCAGCUUGGAUCCGGCGUUGCUGUGGCUGGGCUGUAGGCCCCUAGCCCGGGAACUUCCAUAUGCCACAAGUGUGGCCCUAAAAAGAAAAGAAAAAGAAAUUGCCUCUUCACCACAGCACCACAGGUCCUUCUCUCUGCCUCGAGCUGGCAGGCAGACGGCUUGCAGGCAAAACGCAGGAAUUCUGCAACCUACCUUGCUGCUGACACCCUGCAAAAUGUUUGCAAAAGCAAUGUAUAAUUAUAAGCCUGGAAUCUGUACCUAUUUAAAGUAGCAUCAAGGUGACAAAAAGCACUAGAUUGAGACCAGAUUGAGGAAAAUUGAGAAAACAAUUCUGCCUUCUACCCCGGACCACAGGGCCAAAUGGACCCAAAAGAACCCAGAAAGCACCCUCAAAAUGGUACCUGGGGGCAAUGAAAACAAAAUCUGAGCUGAUGGCUAGACUUUUUUCAGACUUUGGG